ACUUUUUCGGAAAAACGGAUAGAUUAUUGGCUGUCGUGCUUCAUUCAUUGUUCAUGAGAUAUUCUGUUCUACCACGUUAUAUUUGCCAUAGCUGAGAUAUUUCGAUUGAUUCCGAUUUUUUCAUUUAUUUCUAAACGUGCAGUUUGGCUGGACGGAUUAUAUACCACUAAAGACAGGUAUUGGCAGAUAUUCAUUAAAGAAAGAAGAUAUAAGCGGCAAUACGGAGGUUAAGUUGCAAAGGAUUGCAAGUCGAAAUAUCCAAAAAUGUAUCUAAUGUAUUAUUUGGACGACAAAGGAAACCGAGUGUACACUUUGCAGAAAGUGGACCCUAAUGGAAAGCCUACGAUGUCUGCACAUCCAGCUCGAUUUUCUGUAGAGGACAAAUAUUCAAGAGAAAGAAUUAUAAUGAAAAGAAGAUUUGGCCUAUUGUUGACGCAACAACCACAACCUAGCUACUAAUAUUAAAUAUAUUCUGAUGGAACUGCUGGCAGAACAUGCACCUGUUGUGCUUUACUGGCAUUAUACACUUGUCCCGGACUAAAUGGUUCUAAUCGAGGACCGGAUCCUAAAUCAUUUUUAUUACGGACGAUAUCUUAAAAUGGAAACAAAUAAAACAAUUACAGAAAUUCAUACAACUUAGAGGUAUAUAACGAGAUAAUCUAACAACAGGGAGAGGCAAAUAACCACUUGUCAGAGGCAUUACAUCUAAUGUAACACUUUGU